AGUUUUUCCUCCGCCUUCGCGUGCCCGCUGGGUGCCGACGAGUCCCGCAAACCUCGGGGGACCCCGGGCUUGCUAUCUUGUCAUCUGUGGGACUCGUGGGAGCCGAGGGGCUUCCACACCGUGUCCCCUGGGCCUGCAGGCCGCUUCCCUGCAUCCCCUCCCGGCUCUCCACUCUCGGCUUGGGGCUGUGACGGACUUGUUGGCCGGGACUCUUGUUUGCAGAGAUGCUGCAAAGCAAGCUCAAACACUUGGCUUCUGACAUCCCGGCCAGCAGAUCCCGGACAGUCCGAUCUAACGAAGCAUUCCUGAAGCAUCAGGGCCAGUUAUUCACGGUAUUCCAGAACGGAGGCUGGAUGCUCCCUACCCACAAGACCCCAAGGGAACUGCAAUGUAGUCAAUACAGUUUCAUUAUUAUGUUACCUUAAGCAACUUCAUAACUACUAUAAACUUAACAUUUUUUUCCCUC